rnacentral:rRNA from 1 species
CACGUAGGGCGCGAGCGUUGUCCGGAAUUAUUGGGCGUAAAGAGCUCGUAGGCGGCCUGUUGCGUCCGCUGUGAAAGCCCGGGGCUUAACCCCGGGUCGGCAGUGGAUACGGGCAGGCUAGAGGUAGGUAGGGGAGAAUGGAAUUCCCGGUGUAGCGGUGAAAUGCGCAGAUAUCGGGAGGAGCACCAGUAGCGAAGGCGGCACUCUGGGCCGUGACUGACGCUGAGGAGCGAAAGCGUGGGUAGCAAACAGG